CAGUAGCCGCGGGAACACCAGCACCUCGAGUGGUCAGGAGGUUUAUUGGGCCUAAAGCAUCCGUAGCCGGUUGCAUAAGUUUUCGGUUAAAUCUAUGCGCUUAACGUAUAGGCCGCCGAAAAUACUGUGCAGCUAGGGAGUGGGAGAGGUACACGGUACUCGAUAGGAAGGGGUAAAAUCCUUUGAUCUAUUGAUGACCACCUGUGGCGAAGGCGGUGUACCAGAACACGUUCGACGGUGAGGGAUGAAAGCUGGGGGAGCAAACCGGAUUAGAUACCCCGGUAGUCCCUGUCUCUUAUAA
rnacentral:rRNA from 1 species